UACGUAGGGUGCAAGCGUUGUCCGGAAUUAUUGGGCGUAAAGAGCUUGUAGGCGGUUUGUCGCGUCUGCUGUGAAAUUUCGGGGCUCAACCCCGAACUUGCAGUGGGUACGGGCAGGCUAGAGUGUGGUAGGGGAGACUGGAAUUCCUGGUGUAGCGGUGAAAUGCGCAGAUAUCAGGAGGAACACCGGUGGCGAAGGCGGGUCUCUGGGCCGUAACUGACGCUGAGGAGCGAAAGCGUGGGGAGCGAACAGG
rnacentral:rRNA from 1 species